UGCGCAGGCGGGCUUGUAAGUCAGUGGUGAAAUACUGCCGCUUAACGGUAGAACUGCCAUUGAUACUGCGAGUCUUGAAUAUGGUUGAGGUAGGCGGAAUGUGUUGUGUAGCGGUGAAAUGCAUAGAUAUGACACAGAACGCCGAUUGCGAAGGCAGCUUACUAAGCCAUUAUUGACGCUGAUGCACGAAAGCGUGGGGAGCGAACAGGAUUAGAUACCCUGGUAGUCC
rnacentral:rRNA from 1 species